UAUAUACAAUAUAUAUAGAACAUAUAAUAUAUGUUCCCUUAACAGAGAUUAAAGAUUAUAGAAUUUAUAAAGCUUUAGCUAUCUUCUUAAAGUGAGUGCCAUUUACUGCUUAGCUAACGUUAUCUAAUCGAUUUUUGUCAUGGAUUUUGUCCACUAGGGAGCAGAGAAACAAAACAAGCUAAGAUAUGGCAGUUAGCUCAUUCAGGUGUUAUGGCUAACGGCUAACGUGUUAGCAAACAGUUCAUUCGAGCAGACAUGGAGCAUCAUUAGCACUCAUUUGGAGUUUUUUUUCUGUCUACCUGAGACCUGAAACUCGGCAGCUACGGUUUAUCUUGACAAAUACCAGCUGCAGAGGGUCACUUUAAAGAACUGGCCUUCAGGGGCUUUCCUGCUUUUAGGAGUCAAUGUAAUGCAGCAGCUCUGACAGAGCGAAGCAACACCCCACUGGCCUUGAAGAAAGCAACCAGGAAAGGCUGUUUGGACUGGGGCCCGUUCCUCCCAAUGAUUCCAGCAGAUUUUGUGUUGAUACUUCGGCCUUUAAAAAAAACAGGAGUCUCCAGACAGAGCUGCAGGCCCAAGUUCUGCUGUGGGUUCAUCACCCAGUGGUUACUGGUGGCUGUGAUGUCAAACACUAGCCAGCCCCCAUCGGAUGCCUGGACCUUUUUGGAGUCGAGCAAGAACGUCUCUGCAUCUCUGAAGACAGGCAGGUGGUGGGCAUAACAGUGACCACGGGAGCACCCGAGGGAGCCCCUUCCCCCCCCUAUUGUGGGCCCUCAUGGUUUCAUCUGGGACACGGCCAGCUUGGCAGGCAACACAAGACGAGUGAUAACUGAUGGACCUUCCAAGCUUCAUAAGUGGCCAACUUGCUAAUGGAGUUCUCUUUAUCCGAGAACUAUAUUUGUAAGGCAGACAUGGUGCGAAUGAAAGAGAGCAGAGUUGGAGAUAGAAGGGCAUUCUGUGAGAGUGGAAAGUUUUAACGGUGCAAGACAAUAGCUGUUUGACUAUUUCCCUUUUAAACUGUGAAUCAAGAUAACUGCAUGGGGUAAAAGUGCUCCUCAGGGCCCUGUCAGAGGAUUAAUGGACUAAAAUCUCUGAUUAGAAAGCAGCAUUUUUAAUGUUUUAGCUGGUGGACGUAGAGCUAAUUUUAACUACUUUAUAUAUUGUUGGUAGUU